AUGCAAGAUGAUCAUCAGACUAAAGCUGCAAUUCUGUGGAAAGCUUUCAAGCACAGACUCAAUGCUUCUGUGCCCACUUUUGAUCUUCUGAACCUUGAGUCCCUUGUCCCAAAGAUGCCUGAACUAAUUGAGCUUGACAAGCCUUUCACAAAGGAGGAGAUUGAUGCAGUGGUUAAAGAUCUCCCUUCUGAUAAAGCACCAGGGCCAGAUGGCUUCAAUACUGAUUUUAUCAAGCAUUGUUGGGACGUCAUUGCUCCAGAUUUCUAUAAGCUGAUUGAAGACUUUUACAAUGGCAAAUUAAACUUGUAG
rnacentral:rRNA from 1 species